UGUUUUUUGCAGGAACAGACACUGGAUCUUUCCCAUCAAUAAUAUCUACACAACUAUUCAGGAAUCAAACAAUAUUGAGAAUCCUAAAGAGACUUCAAGGUUAGACUCCAUCAGUUUACACAAUGAGGUUAUAAAGUUACCCAGGUAAGA